rnacentral:rRNA from 1 species
UACAGAGGUCUCAAGCGUUGUUCGGAUUCAUUGGGCGUAAAGGGUGCGUAGGCGGCGCGGUAAGUCGGGUGUGAAAUCUUGGAGCUUAACUCCGAAACUGCAUUCGAUACUGCCGUGCUUGAGGACUGGAGAGGAGACUGGAAUUUACGGUGUAGCGGUGAAAUGCGUAGAUAUCGUAAGGAAGACCAGUGGCGAAGGCGGGUCUCGUGGACAGUUCCUGACGCUGAGGCACGAAGGCCAGGGGGAGCAAACGGG